AUUGAACGCUGGCGGCAUGCCUUACACAUGCAAGUCGAACGGCAGCACGGGUGCUUGCACCUGGUGGCGAGUGGCGAACGGGUGAGUAAUACAUCGGAACGUACCUUAUCGUGGGGGAUAACGCAGCGAAAGCUGUGCUAAUACCGCAUACGCCCUGAGGGGGAAAGCGGGGGAUCGCAAGACCUCGCGCGAUUAGAGCGGCCGAUGCCUGAUUAGCUAGUUGGUGGGGUAGAAGCCCACCAAGGCGACGAUCAGUAGCUGGUCUGAGAGGACGAUCAGCCACACUGGGACUGAGUCACGGCCCAGACUCCUACGGGAGGCAGCAGUGGGGAAUUUUGGACAAUGGGGGCAACCCUGAUCCAGCAAUGCCGCGUGAGUGAAGAAGGCCUUCGGGUUGUAAAGCUCUUUUGUCAGGGAAGAAACACCGGCUCUAACACAGUCCGGGAAUGACGGUACCUGAAGAAUAAGCACCGGCUAACUACGUGCCAGCAGCCGCCGUAA
rnacentral:rRNA from 1 species